rnacentral:rRNA from 1 species
CGGAGGGUGCAAGCGUUAUCCGGAUUCACUGGGUUUAAAGGGUGCGUAGGAGGGCAGGUAAGUCAGUGGUGAAAUCCCCGAGCUUAACUUGGGAACUGCCGUUGAUACUAUCUGUCUUGAAUAUUGUGGAGGUAAGCGGAAUAUGUCAUGUAGCGGUGAAGUGCUUAGAUAUGACAUAGAACACCAAUUGCGAAGGCAGCUUGCUACACAACUAUUGACUCUGAUGCACGAAAGCGUGGGGAUCAAACAGGAUUAGAUACCCUGGUGGUCCACGCCCUAAACGAUGGAUACUCGACAUCAGCGAUACACAGUUGGUGUCUGAGCGAAAGCAUUAAGUAUCCCACCUGGGAAGUACGACCGCAAGGUUG